CGGCCUGUGCGGGGCUGUCGGGCCCGCUGUCCCUCGUCGCUGUCCCUCGAAAGCUCUCCUCAGUCCCCGUGUUAGUUCGGCCCUGACCGCGCUUUUGCUGUGUUCUGUGGUGCUGUUGUACCUGGAGUUCUCUCCAAUGGUUCCCUUGCGAGGAAUCCUGCAGGAAAGACACACAGAUGAUCAGACUGCAGAUGAUACAGUGGUCUCCUCUUCAGAGGAUACACUGAAUUUCUAUUUGAUCCUGCUGGCUGACAACCCGGUUUGUUUUCUAACAUGAUUGGGAAACUUGUCAACAUCAAAGUAGGCUAUAUUUUUGAAGAUCUGAAGGAACAACCACAUACAGCCAUAGCAUAGCACUAUUUUUUUCCCCCCCUCCAUGUGCUGUUUGCCCCUUCCCUCAGUUCUGUGCUGUAUCUCAGGGUUGUGCUGCCAGAGUGCCUUAUGAGUUUUGAAGGAUGGGCCUCCAUUCUCCAGUCCUCAUCCAGAAAGCUUUUGAACCCCUAAGUCAGACCUGGAUGCUCCA